GAUGAACGCUGGCGGCGUGCCUAAUACAUGCAGGUCGAGCGAACAGACGAGGAGCUUGCUCCUCUGACGUUAGCGGCGGACGGGUGAGUAACACGUGGAUAACCUACCUAUAAGACUGGGAUAACUUCGGGAAACCGGGGCUAAUACCGGAUAAUAUAUUGAACCGCAUGGUUCAAUAGUGAAAGACGGUUUUGCUGUCACUUAUAGAUGGAUCCGCGCCGCAUUAGCUAGUUGGUAAGGUAACGGCUUACCAAGGCAACGAUGCGUAGCCGACCUGAGAGGGUGAUCGGCCACACUGGAACUGAGACACGGUCCAGACUCCUACGGGAGGCAGCAGUAGGGAAUCUUCCGCAAUGGGCGAAAGCCUGACGGAGCAACGCCGCGUGAGUGAUGAAGGUCUUCGGAUCGUAAAACUCUGUUAUUAGGGAAGAACAAAUGUGUAAGUAACUAUGCACGUCUUGACGGUACCUAAUCAGAAAGCCACGGCUAACUACGUG
rnacentral:rRNA from 1 species